rnacentral:rRNA from 1 species
UUAAGCGACUAAGCGUACACGGUGGAUGCCCUGGCAGUCAGAGGCGAUGAAGGACGUGCUAAUCUGCGAUAAGCGUCGGUAAGGUGAUAUGAACCGUUAUAACCGGCGAUUUCCGAAUGGGGAAACCCAGUGUGUUUCGACACACUAUCAUUAACUGAAUCCAUAGGUUAAUGAGGCGAACCGGGGGAACUGAAACAUCUAAGUACCCCGAGGAAAAGAAAUCAACCGAGAUUCCCCAGUAGCGGCGAGCGAACGGGGAGCAGCCCAGAGCCUGAAUCAGUGUGUGUGUUAGUGGAAGCGUCUGGAAAGGCGCGCGAUACAGGGUGACAGCCCCGUACACAAAAAUGCACAUGCUGUGAGCUCGAUGAGUAGGGCGGGACACGUGGUAUCCUGUCUGAAUAUGGGGGACCAUCCUCCAAGGCUAAAUACUCCUGACUGACCGAUAGUGAACCAGUACCGUGAGGGAAAGGCGAAAAGAACCCCGGCGAGGGGAGUGAAAAAGAACCUGAAACCGUGUACGUACAAGCAGUGGGAGCACGCUUCGGCGUGUGACUGCGUACCUUUUGUAUAAUGGGUCAGCGACUUAUAUUCUGUAGCAAGGUUAACCGAAUAGGGAGCCGAAGGGAAACCGAGUCUUAACUGGGCGUUAAGUUGCAGGGUAUAGACCCGAAACCCGGUGAUCUAGCCAUGGGCAGGUUGAAGGUUGGGUAACACUAACUGGAGGACCGAACCGACUAAUGUUGAAAAAUUAGCGGAUGACUUGUGGCUGGGGGUGAAAGGCCAAUCAAACCGGGAGAUAGCUGGUUCUCCCCGAAAGCUAUUUAGGUAGCGCCUCGUGAAUUCAUCUCCGGGGGUAGAGCACUGUUUCGGCAAGGGGGUCAUCCCGACUUACCAACCCGAUGCAAACUGCGAAUACCGGAGAAUGUUAUCACGGGAGACACACGGCGGGUGCUAACGUCCGUCGUGAAGAGGGAAACAACCCAGACCGCCAGCUAAGGUCCCAAAGUCAUGGUUAAGUGGGAAACGAUGUGGGAAGGCCCAGACAGCCAGGAUGUUGGCUUAGAAGCAGCCAUCAUUUAAAGAAAGCGUAAUAGCUCACUGGUCGAGUCGGCCUGCGCGGAAGAUGUAACGGGGCUAAACCAUGCACCGAAGCUGCGGCAGCGACACUAUGUGUUGUUGGGUAGGGGAGCGUUCUGUAAGCCUGCGAAGGUGGCCUGUGAGGGUUGCUGGAGGUAUCAGAAGUGCGAAUGCUGACAUAAGUAACGAUAAAGCGGGUGAAAAGCCCGCUCGCCGGAAGACCAAGGGUUCCUGUCCAACGUUAAUCGGGGCAGGGUGAGUCGACCCCUAAGGCGAGGCCGAAAGGCGUAGUCGAUGGGAAACAGGUUAAUAUUCCUGUACUUGGUGUUACUGCGAAGGGGGACGGAGAAGGCUAUGUUGGCCGGGCGACGGUUGUCCCGGUUUAAGCGUGUAGGCUGGUUUUCCAGGCAAAUCCGGAAAAUCAAGGCUGAGGCGUGAUGACGAGGCACUACGGUGCUGAAGCAACAAAUGCCCUGCUUCCAGGAAAAGCCUCUAAGCAUCAGGUAACAUCAAAUCGUACCCCAAACCGACACAGGUGGUCAGGUAGAGAAUACCAAGGCGCUUGAGAGAACUCGGGUGAAGGAACUAGGCAAAAUGGUGCCGUAACUUCGGGAGAAGGCACGCUGAUAUGUAGGUGAAGCGACUUGCUCGUGGAGCUGAAAUCAGUCGAAGAUACCAGCUGGCUGCAACUGUUUAUUAAAAACACAGCACUGUGCAAACACGAAAGUGGACGUAUACGGUGUGACGCCUGCCCGGUGCCGGAAGGUUAAUUGAUGGGGUUAGCGGUAACGCGAAGCUCUUGAUCGAAGCCCCGGUAAACGGCGGCCGUAACUAUAACGGUCCUAAGGUAGCGAAAUUCCUUGUCGGGUAAGUUCCGACCUGCACGAAUGGCGUAAUGAUGGCCAGGCUGUCUCCACCCGAGACUCAGUGAAAUUGAACUCGCUGUGAAGAUGCAGUGUACCCGCGGCAAGACGGAAAGACCCCGUGAACCUUUACUAUAGCUUGACACUGAACAUUGAGCCUUGAUGUGUAGGAUAGGUGGGAGGCUUUGAAGUGUGGACGCCAGUCUGCAUGGAGCCGACCUUGAAAUACCACCCUUUAAUGUUUGAUGUUCUAACGUUGGCCCCUAAUCGGGGUUGCGGACAGUGUCUGGUGGGUAGUUUGACUGGGGCGGUCUCCUCCUAAAGAGUAACGGAGGAGCACGAAGGUUGGCUAAUCCUGGUCGGACAUCAGGAGGUUAGUGCAAUGGCAUAAGCCAGCUUGACUGCGAGCGUGACGGCGCGAGCAGGUGCGAAAGCAGGUCAUAGUGAUCCGGUGGUUCUGAAUGGAAGGGCCAUCGCUCAACGGAUAAAAGGUACUCCGGGGAUAACAGGCUGAUACCGCCCAAGAGUUCAUAUCGACGGCGGUGUUUGGCACCUCGAUGUCGGCUCAUCACAUCCUGGGGCUGAAGUAGGUCCCAAGGGUAUGGCUGUUCGCCAUUUAAAGUGGUACGCGAGCUGGGUUUAGAACGUCGUGAGACAGUUCGGUCCCUAUCUGCCGUGGGCGCUGGAGAACUGAGGGGGGCUGCUCCUAGUACGAGAGGACCGGAGUGGACGCAUCACUGGUGUUCGGGUUGUCAUGCCAAUGGCACUGCCCGGUAGCUAAAUGCGGAAGAGAUAAGUGCUGAAAGCAUCUAAGCACGAAACUUGCCCCGAGAUGAGUUCUCCCUGACUCCUUGAGAGUCCUGAAGGAACGUUGAAGACGACGACGUUGAUAGGCCGGGUGUGUAAGCGCAGCGAUGCGUUGAGCUAACCGGUACUAAUGAACCGUGAGGCUUAACCUU